UCCUCUUCUAAAUUAAGUUUACCAUCGAUCAAUGGUCGUCACUCCACACCCUUUGACUGCCUCUUCUUCUCCAUAGUAACGGUUUCAUGUUUAAUGGCCAUUCAUGCCGGUCGAUGAUCUCUCUUUUAAUUCAACACCUACUACGCUUUCUUCAAUUGCCCUGGCCGUCUUCACCAACAGAUCGUUGGAAGGAUGCUUUGUCACUGGCCUGCUAGAUCGUCGAACUGAAACUAUUUGUUGUUAUAAGGAGGCAUUGAAGAUGGGGAGGAUCCAAAGUCAGCAGCCAUGAGAGAGUUACAAGAAGAAAUUCGAGUCGUUUCAGUUGAAAGGUCCCAAUUUGGUUGACAUAUGAUUUCCCACCAGCAGUAAAAUCAAAGGUUAACCGUCUCUGGGGAGGUGAAUGGCACGGUCAAACUCAGAAAUGUGAGAUUGAGAAAUGAUGAGGACGAAAGAGAGAUUAAUCUAGCAAACAACGAAGCGGAUUCAAGAAUGAUACAAGAAGAGCUGCUAAAUGUAAAUCAAAGUGCCAAGUAAGAAGAUUGCAGAUGCUAAGCUUGCAAAGGACUUUCAAGCUGUUUUGAAAGAGUUUCAGAAAGCUCAACAAACCGCUGCUGAAAGAGUAACAACCUAUGCCCCUUUUGUUCCUCAAUCCGCUCUUCCCCCUAGUUACAUGGUCAGUGAGGUAGAUAAGGCCCCAGAACAGCGAGCACAACUUCAGGAGUCUAAAAAGUAGGUGAUAAUGUAAAAAAGAACAGAUCUUUGACACAUAUCUCUCUCCAUUGUUAGACAACGAGAUUGCAUUCAACGAAGCUGUGAUUGAAGAACGAGAGCAAGGAAUACAAUAAAUCCAUAAUCAAAUUGGCGAGGUUAAUGAAAUAUUCAAAGAUCUUGCGGUUUUUGUUAAUGAUCAAGGAGUCAUGAUAGAUGAUAUCGGUACUCACAUCGAUAACUCCCGUGCUGCAACUUCACAAGGCAAAACUCAGCUAGCGCAAGCCGCGAAGACAAAAAGGUCAAACUCAUCUCUGACAUGUUUGCUCUUGCCAAGAACAAGUCGUUUGGGUGAUUUCAUCGAUCUUAAAAGUGUUAAUGAGUGGAACUACUUGGACAACAGGACAUUGCCACGUUUCAGAUCACAUCAGUUUUGCAAGAGAGCAGAGGGUUAAGCGGAGGCAGAGUCAAGAGCUUGGGGUUUGGUUUGCAAUUCCAUGGGUUCAAAAAGUCGGUGAGGAGUACCCAACGGUCUUGUGUGUCAGAGUGAACUGACCAUCCCUUGGAAGCUUCGAUCCAUUUGGCUGAAAUGAUUUCUUCUGGAAUUGCUUUGUCCGCAAGGUUGAGUAACUCUUGUUUAGCUGGGUCGUACAAAACCACUUCUCCGAUGCUGACGCCUUCCGACGGGGGUCUUGCACUGACAGUAAGCGACAAAUACGGACCGGUCGUGGAAGAUGAAAACGAACGAACGCUCCACUUGUGAAUCUGCCAUGUUUAAGGAAAAAUNUUUUUUUUUUUUUUUUUUUUUUUUUUUUUUUUUUUUUUUUUUGUACAAAAGCAAAAAUAAAAGAGUAAAUCCCCAAUUCUCUAAAGAAUAGAUCUAUAGCUCAACCCUCCGUUAGCGUAAUAGUGUAGAAAGGUGAUGCUUCAUUUACUUUUUUGUCUGUUUUGUUUGUGUUUCUCAUGAAUU